GUAGUCUCGCACAGAUGCAUAUCAAUAAGCGGAGGAAAAGAAACUAACAAGGAUUCCCCUAGUAACGGCGAGUGAAGCGGGAAGAGCUCAAAUUUGAAAUCUUAAAGGGUUUCCCUUUACGAAUUGUAGUUUAAAGAAGUGUUUUCUGUUGAGGUUUUGGUAAAAGUUCUUUGGAAUAGGACAUCAUAGAGGGUGAGAAUCCCGUAUUUGACCUUUACUUUCAACUUUGUGAUACACUUUCAAAGAGUCGGAUUGUUUGGGAAUGCAGUCCAAAAUGGGUGGUAAAUUUCAUCUAAAGCUAAAUAUUGGCGAGAGACCGAUAGCGAACAAGUACCGUGAGGGAAAGAUGAAAAGAACUUUGAAAAGAGAGUUAAACAGUACGUGAAAUUGUCAAAAGGGAAGCGUUUGACACCAGUGUUGUUUUUCUGAAAAUCAAUUAAAGAACUGUUUAUGCUAAGUUGUUUAGACUUUAUCAGGCUAACUGUUUAGUUUUGAGCUUUUCUUUAAUGCACUUUUCAGUUAACAAGUCAACAUCAAUUUCUUUUGCUGUAAAAAAGCUUGAGGAAGGUGGCUUGAGAUUCGUCUUAAGUGUUUAUAGCCUCUUGCCUAUGCAGUCGGAGAGAUUGAGGUCUGCAGCGUAGAUCCUUCGGGGCUAAAUGCAUUUGUGCUAAGUUAUAGCAUUUUAUAGACAACUUGUUGACUAUGAUUUGUCUUGUAGCUUACUCGCUUAUGUUAUUUUACCUACGCUUAGGAUGUUGAUCUGUAGUGCGUGCGC
rnacentral:rRNA from 1 species